rnacentral:rRNA from 1 species
GACGAACGCUGGCGGCGUGCUUAACACAUGCAAGUCGAACGGUAAGGCCCUUCGGGGUACACGAGUGGCGAACGGGUGAGUAACACGUGGGUGAUCUGCCCUGCACUUCGGGAUAAGCCUGGGAAACUGGGUCUAACACCGGAUAGGACCACUGCCUGCAUGGGUGGUGGUGGAAAGCUUUUGCGGUGUGGGAUGGGCCCGCGGCCUAUCAGCUUGUUGGUGGGGUGAUGGCCUACCAAGGCGACGACGGGUAGCCGGCCUGAGAGGGUGACCGGCCACACUGGGACUGAGCUACGGCCCAGACUCCUACGGGAGGCAGCAGUGGGGAAUAUUGCGCAAUGGGCGCAAGCCUGAUGCAGCGACGCCGCGUGAGGGAUGACGGCCUUCGGGUUGUAAACCUCUUUCAGCACCGACGAAGCGCAAGUGACGGUAGGUGCAGAAGAAGGACCGGCCAACUACGUGCCAGCCGCCGCCGUAA